rnacentral:lncRNA from 10 species
CGGGGGUGAGGCUGUGACACCCAGAGGAAUUCCUGUGAGAGGAUGGGGAAGGGAUUCGCUCUUAGUUCCUGGGUGCACCCCUCCCCCUCUCCCGUGCACAGGGAAAUGAUGGCGGGAACACAGCAAAGGAGACCAUGUCCUGGAGAGGGUCCCGGGCCCCACCCUCCCCGGGGGGGCUUGUGCAAGGCUGGCGGCCCGAUCUCUGCUGAUUCCAGUAUUGGGGGUGCAGAGAAGGCACAGGACAGUUUUUGUUGAAGCCGUUGCAGCCUCCACUUGGGGAAGCUGAGGCCAGGGUAAGAUGCUCGGGUAGGAGAGGGGAUCCCUUUGGGGGUAGGUGAUGUAGGGCACAGGAGUGGGGCUGGGGCUGGGGGGUGGCAGGGUUGCAGGCAGGAGACAGUCUCCAGAGGCCCAGCAUAGAAAAGCGAUGGAGGGGUGAGGGGGGACAGGACGCUGGCGAAUUGGGGUUCCCAGAGUGAGAGACAGGAACAUUUACAGGUGGACAGAGUAAAAGGCCCUGAAAAGGGGGUGGGUUGGUGCAUUUGUGGCCUUGGGCCCAAGCAGGCUUCUCUGGGUGAGGGCUAGCAGCACCUCCCCUCUUCUCCAGCUCACCCCUUUCACACACACACACGCCCCCCAUUUUGUCACCCUGUCAAGGGAAUAAACCCCAGAGAGGAAGAAAUUAUGUCUAGGAGGAAACGGUGAGCCUGGAUGGGUUUUUUAGGGGGGAGGCUGGCAGGGGCAUGGAGCCAGGAAACAGCCUUCGCCCCCCAGAGCACCAGGUACCCUGAGAAAAGUGAGAAGAGAGAUUGCAGCCCAGGUCCCUGCAGAGGAGGAUGGGCUCCUUUCCCAGGAAGGACUGGCUGAGUGGACUGUCUCCAGGGCACAGGACAACGUUGAGGGCCUGAGGCCUCCACCUUCUUGAAGAAGGACCAUGUGAAUUUCCUGACAGAGAACGGGGAUGGGUUUCUGAAAGCACCACCCAGCUGAGCCUGCCGAAACUGCACAGCUGUUUCCAGGCCAGGCUGGCUGCAUGGAGGACGUGAGAGGAACAGCCAGCUGUGUGUGCUGGGCCCACUGAUCAGGGUGCUCAGGACCAGGAGCCUUCUGAGGAUGUGCAGAGGGGACUCUGGGGAGAGGAACAUGGUGGCCACAGCUGGAGUGACCGCAGUGUACAGAGAUGGGAUGGGAGCAGGAAACCCAAAAGAGCCGGCCCUGGAACCAGGUGGAGGGGAGGCAGCCCGGCCAUGACCCAGAGCAGGACACCUGCUCCACUUCACCUUUUGCCAUGAGUAAAAGCUCCCUGAGGCCUCCCAAGAAGUUGAUGCCCUGUGCUUCCUGUACAGCUGCGGAACCGGCACCCUCCCUGCAUGGCCCGAUGACCUGCACUCCUGUUUCAUCUCCCCGUGUGGCACCUGGGGCAGCUUGGAGCCUACCAAGGUCUCAACAAGGAACCAGUAAAUACCAAAAAAAGGACAUCACGUCCCCUACAGCUAACUGCAAAUGGUGACCAUCCCAGCCCUUGUUUGAUAACACAAGCAAAGCAAUGGCUUCUUCAAGGACACCGAGAGGAACCUCACCUCUUUCUAAAACCUCCAACACAGGGCCAGGCGCGGUGGCUCAU